rnacentral:lncRNA from 1 species
GGCAGCUGCCAGGAGGCUGGAUAAGCACUUCUCAUGCAGGGAUGCUACUGCCUCUUGGGGAUGCUAGGCCAAAUCCAGAGACAAUGAUCAUGGUUACAACUGAUGAGCACCAUGACAUCUUGCAGGUAAAGACCAGAAAUGCUACAAACCAUCUUUCAAUGCACAGGACUUUUGUCUCAACAAUUAUCCAGCUAGUGUGGGGGAGUUGAGAAAUGCUGGCCCAGGAGCUACCAAGGAGGUAUCUUGUGCUUUAGGGAGUGAGAGGGAGCUUGUAGCAGCUUGAAACAGUGGGACAUAGGAUGUGGGCACAGAAGGGCAGGUGGGCCAGACCAGCUGGGUGAGGCAACAGCAGGUGAGAGCAGGUUCCAGACUGACCUCCUGGAGAAAGAGGGAGAAGCAGGGAGAGGAGAAAGACUUGUGGAGACUGAGCAGCUGUGGCAGAUGCAGCAGGAGAAGGACCUGGCCAUGUCACAUUUUGGACCACCACCCUCUUGGGGAGGAGAGGGCUGACACAGCAGAGGCUGGGGGCAGGGAGGAGGCCAGUCAGUCCCACAGUGGGAGGUCACAGAGCCCCAGCUGAGCUGUGGCAGAAGACUCAGAGCUGGUGUCAGGAACCAGGGUGGUGGGGCCAUUCCCAGCCCAGCUUCUGCAUGUCCCCUGCAUGGGGCCACAGGCUGCUGUCCUUGGCUCCUUUCCCUUUGGGAAGUCAGUGGUCUGCAGAGGUCUUUGGAGCUGAGAAAUGGAUCAUGGUUGGGGAGGAAGCAGCACCUGGGAGACAGUGGGGGGCACAGGUGCGGGGCUCCAGUGGCACCAGCCUAGAUCUGACCGCAGCUUUGGGUUUCUCCUAGGAGGUGCUCAAUCUGCUGCAAGGGCCCUCCCAGGAAGUCACGCUGCUCCUUUGCUGACCACCUCCAGGUGUGCUGCCCAAGAGGGAGCCGGGGUGGCAGACAUCUGUGGACAGAGAAUUUACCAAAGCAACGUAUUCUGAUUCAGAGCAGAGCCCCAGCCUGGACCAGGAGGAGAGCUGGAGGUACAGCACCUCUCCAGAUGCAGGGGAAGGCCCGGCUCUUGGAGAGGCACAAGGGGGUCAAGACAGGGACAGACCCUUGGCCAGGUCCUUGGCACUUCCCCUGGAGCCCCAUUCUCACUUAUGCCAACGUCACCAAGAGACAGAGGCACCAGCCCUGGCCACCCCUUUGAAACAGGAUAUGAGGCAGAACUGCUAUUCUGUGUGUGACAUCAGGAGACUUGGCAGGUAAGACUUGUGACAUUGCAGACAGUUUGUAAAUUGUGUGUAUUGCAUUGCUAGAGGAUUACCACCAAGUAAUCAGUGACUGCUCCCACAUGCUUCC